AUCAGGAGGGGCUAAAGUUUACCCAUGUGACUUGGCUAUCCUCCCUUUUCCAAGGCGCUACUAUUUACAGGAGCCGUACAUGAAAUGCUCAGGUUGGGAACUGAGGCAAGCAGAGGCCCUAAAGGCUGACAUGACUGAUUCAAAGCUGGGUCCAGCUGAAGUCUGGACUUCCAGGCAAGCUCUACAGGACCUCUAUCAAAAGAUGCUGGUCACGGAUUUGGAGUAUGCACUGGAUAAGAAGGUGGAGCA